rnacentral:lncRNA from 1 species
CUUCUGCCAUGAGAACAGGAACACACAAGCUGUCCCUGCAACAAAUAUGGCCCAGAUGCAGACACUGGUCCUGUUUUCAACAUUACUGAUCCUCUGUGUCUCAGCAGCGAGCCCUGAAGUGUGGGUGCAAGUCCAGAUGGAGGCCACCAACCUCUCAUUCUUCUCAGUUCACUGUGGGGUUUUAGGAUGUAACCACAUCUCCCUGGUAACAGUGAGCUGGAAAGGAUUUGUUGAUGCUAGAGAGACCAAACUAGCUGUUUUACAUCCAGAAUUUGGCACCCAGCAGUGGGCUCCUGCCAGCCAGGCCCACUGGGAAACCCCAAUUAGCAUCUCUGUCACUCUGACCCUGGAACAAUCCAAAGCAAGAAGCUCCCUAGCCAACACUACAUUCUGCUGCGAGUUUGUUACCUUCCCUCAUGGUUCCAGGGUGGCCUGUAGAGACCUCCAUAGCUCAGAUCCAGGACUCUCUGCCCUGACUCCAGCCCCCAGUCUUCAGGCAGAUCUGGCAGGGAUCUUGGGAACCUCAGGGUUUUUCCUGUUUGGUUUCAUCUUUAUACUAUGUCUCCGGUGGUGGCAGAGGCAUCGGUGUUCCAGAAAAUCUCAGUUGUCCCUCAGCAGAACCCAG